UACAGAGGGUGCGAGCGUUAAUUGGAAUUACUGGGCGUAAAGCGCGCGUAGGCGGCUUUGCAAGUCGGGUGUGAAAUCCCCAGGCUUAACCUGGGAACUGCAUUCGAGACUGCAUUGCUAGAGUAUGGGAGAGGGAAGUGGAAUUUCCGGUGUAGCGGUGAAAUUCGUAGAUAUCGAGAGGAACACCGGUGGCGAAGGCGGCCUUCUGGACGAUUACUGACGCUGAGACGCGAAAGCGUGGGGAGCAAACAGG
rnacentral:rRNA from 1 species